AGAGAGAGAGGAAUUCGUGUUCUUGAACCGCUUAGCAGCAUGCAACUCGUGACCCCCAACCGAAGCCUGAAUGAGAAUAGUGUGUGCUUUUCUUAUGGGAAACUACCUGCCGUCCUCUUUAUACCCUCUAUUUUUCUUAUAAAAGGCUCUGUUUCCUCCAACAUCUUACCUGCCCCCUUUUCAAACUCAGAUAACGGCUGCAAACGUUCAAAUCGAAGGUAAUACCUUGACUCCCUUCCCUCUCUCGACAUCUGUACGUAUCCAAGUUGCAUCCAAGUAAACACAAGGCACCAAUUCUUAACGCGAA